rnacentral:tRNA from 1 species
GUCUCUGUGGCGCAAUUGGUUAGCGCGUUCGGCUGUUAACCGGAAGGUUGGUGGUUCAAGCCCACUCAGGGACG